rnacentral:rRNA from 1 species
CUGGCUCAGGACGAACGCUGGCGGCGUGCCUAACACAUGCAAGUCGAGCGGGGACAUUGCGACGGAGACGAAGUACUCGUACGGAGUCAAAGAUGUAAUGUUCUAGCGGCGGACGGGUGAGUAACGCGUGAGCAACCUGUCCCUUACAGGGGGAUAACACAGCGAAAGUUGUACUAAUACCGCAUAAGACCACAGAGUGACAUCGCUCAGGGGUCAAAGGAGCAAUCCGGUAAGGGGUGGGCUCGCGUCCGAUUAGAUAGUUGGUGAGGUAACGGCCCACCAAGUCGACGAUCGGUAGCCGACCUGAGAGGGUGAUCGGCCACAUUGGGACUGAGACACGGCCCAAACUCCUACGGGAGGCAGCAGUGGGGAAUAUUGGGCAAAUGGGGGAAACCCUGACCCAGCAACGCCGCGUGAGGGAAGAAGGUUUUCGGAUCGUAAACCUCUGUCCCAGGUGAAGAGGAAGAGACGGUGGCCUGGGAGGAAGCCCCGGCUAACUACGUGCCAGCCGCGGC